AUUGAACGCUGGCGGCAUGCUUUACACAUGCAAGUCGAACGGUAACAGGCCGCAAGGUGCUGACGAGUGGCGAACGGGUGAGUAAUGCAUCGGAACGUGCCCAGUCGUGGGGGAUAACGCAGCGAAAGCUGCGCUAAUACCGCAUACGAUCUAUGGAUGAAAGCGGGGGACCGUAAGGCCUCGCGCGAUUGGAGCGGCCGAUGUCAGAUUAGGUAGUUGGUGGGGUAAAGGCUCACCAAGCAAACGAUCUGUAGCUGGUCUGUGAAGACGACCAGCCACACUGGGACUGAGACACGGCCCAGACUCCUACGGGAGGCAGCAGUGGGGAAUUUUGGACAAUGGGCGCAAGCCUGAUCCAGCAAUGCCGCGUGCAGGAAGAAGGCCUUCGGGUUGUAAACUGCUUUUGUACGGAACGAAACGGUCCUGGUUAAUACCCGGGGCUAAUGACGGUACCGUAAGAAUAAGCACCGGCUAACUACGUGCCAGCAGCCGCCGUAAAAC
rnacentral:rRNA from 1 species